UCAAAAUAUGUGUUAAAACGGCAAGCGGGGGACAUUCAGAGGCACGUCUGUCGCUAGUUUCUAGAACCUUCUUUCUUCUCUCCGAGCUCAAUCCGCCGUUGAUCCCAAUUGGUUUAGAUCGCAUCUUCAACCCUCCCCUACCCGAGGAGAGAUCAUCCACCUGAAAAGCAAUGUGAUCGUCGAUCUUCUUCUUUUCAAAGCUACUUCGCACCAGAACAAGGAGAUUGCAUUCAUCGUGUUGCGGAUUUUGUGUUCGUCUGUUGGAUUAUCCACUCCCUUUGAUGUGAGAUGGACAGUAUUCAUGCGAGCGAUGGACGGAUGCAUAUUAGCCAUGCACAGCAUUCGAUGCACACACAAUCUGUGCAAGACCAGGAACAUCAUGACUUGCAUUAUAUGAGUAAUGGGGAUGGAUUGGCUGAUGAACAUGAAAAUGAAGGUCAUGGUAUUAUGGUUGGGGAAAGGGAAGUUCAAUCGGACCAUGGCGAUCUUGCCGAGAAUCGUGGUGUAAUGGUGGAUCGAGGUGGCGAUAACUGCGACCAGCUCAGCCUGUCUUAUCAGGGUCAAGUUUAUGUUUUCGAUUCCGUCUCGCCCGAAAAGGUUCAAGCCGUGUUAUUAUUAUUGGGAGGUCAUGAAGUACCUUUGCGUGUUCCGUCAAUCCCAAUAACCAAUCAACAAAAUGAUAGGAAUCUCACUGAUGAAGCGUUUAACCAGGCACUUGCCAAUAUCCCCCCACGUCUAAGUGUCCCUCAGAGAUUAGCUUCUUUGAUUAGAUUUCGUGAAAAGCGAAAGGAACGAAAUUUUGACAAGAAAAUUCGGUAUACAGUUCGUAAAGAGGUAGCACUUAGGAUGCAGCGUAAUAAAGGCCAGUUCACAUCUUCUAAACCCAUUCAUGAAGAUUCAUCAUUGGCCAUAGCAAGUUGGGAACCAAAUGAGGGUUGGAGUAAUGAUGGAAAUGGAUCCCAACAACAGGAGAUUCUUUGCCGACAUUGUGGUAUUAGUGAGAAGUCAACACCAAUGAUGCGACGUGGACCAGAUGGGCCAAGAACCCUUUGCAAUGCUUGCGGACUCAUGUGGGCAAACAAGGUCUUCCAUGCACGAGCCUGAAAAUGAGCAUUUAGCAGCUCUGCUUUUGGCCUUGGCAAUUCUUUUCUAUGUUUUUGUUUCUAUUACUUCUAAUUUGUAUCGCUGGACUGUUAAGGGAACUCUCCGGGACCUCUCAAAAGCUCCAAAUCAAGGUGGACAAACUGCAACCUUCAAUAGAAAUGAGAAUGCUGUGCAGAAUGGAGAUUCUGAGUCCAACCCAAAUGGUGUUUAGAAUUGUGACAGAUGUUUAUGAUUCCUGCUGCAGAAUUUAGCAAAAAUCAUACGUAUCUCCUACAGAGAUUAGUUUGAAACGGGUUAAUCGACAUUUGACAGAUUUAAAAUUUCACUGAUGGAUAUGAAUAUUCACACCCAUCGACAGAGAAACCCUUGUUUAUCUUCUAAGCUGGCUAAUUCAUCUUGGAAUCAAGGGCACCGUGUACGCGUACUAAUUUAUUGGCCUCUUGUUUUAUCAUACUGCGAACCAUUUCAAAUUAUCAAUUCCUAGAAUCUUGUAAAUUAUCAUUUCCUGCGGGUGUACAAUGGACGUUUUUUUUAAAAUCCGAUUCUAUUUUUGUCCUG